ensembl:lncRNA
UCUCAACCUGCCCCAGCUGGUCUGCAUUGCACAGGAGCUGACUACAGGUUCCUGUAAACCAAGUGGACUGUAUGAAGCUGGGGAGGUGAGAGUAGACUCCUAAGGAAAAUGCUGCUUCUCAAGUGAGCCUGGGGCUGAAGCCUACCAAUGAAGACCCUGUACUAGGAACUGUUAGUAUCCCACUCAGAUGCCUUCUGGUAGGCCAGUGCGCUCAUCUUUUGCUGUGAGUAUUUGCUGCUACUGGCUUAUAACUGUGCACUUCUCCAGUGUUGCCUUUGGGCUCUGGAGCCAAGCUGGCCAGAAAUGCCUAGGAAGCUAGGAGCCCCCUAUUCUGAGGGCAGUCUGCAGCCAGUGAUUGACUGAUGUGAGGGGCACAACACAAAAACCUAAGCCCUUAGCCUAGAUGAUUAGAAAAAAGAAAA